UAAGUUAACCUUCCAGGUUAAAAGCUGAUGGCUGGUGACUUUUGGGUCACCAGCCG
rnacentral:sRNA from 1 species